rnacentral:rRNA from 1 species
AUACGGAGGGUGCGAGCGUUAAUCGGAAUUACUGGGCGUAAAGCGCGCGUAGGCGGCUAAGUAAGUCGGAUGUGAAAGCCCUGGGCUCAACCUGGGAAUUGCACUCGAUACUGCUUGGCUAGAGUAUGGUAGAGGGUAGUGGAAUUCCUGGUGUAGCGGUGAAAUGCGUAGAUAUCAGGAGGAACAUCAGUGGCGAAGGCGGCUACCUGGACCAAUACUGACGCUGAGGUGCGAAAGCGUGGGGAGCAAACAGGAUUAGAAACCCCGGUAGUCC